CAGUAUUGAGUUAGAGCUUUGCCCAGAAGUGAAGAGGCUCAAAGACUCUUGUUGAGUCUGAUUCAAAUAUCCCAUAUUGUAUUUAUAUUUAGGUGGGCCCAAUUUCUACAGAUUUUCUAGCUGGGCCUAUCCGCCUCUACGUAACAUUAACCAAAUUCACAUAUUCAUAGCAGUUAUAUCAAUUACUGUUUAAGUAAAAAAAAAAAUAGCAUUCAAAGAUCAAACAAAAAUGCUAGUUUAAAAAUUAACCGCGGAAUUUGCAAGAUACAAUAGCAGGUGUUUAUACUAUUAUUCUCAAAGAAAUUUCACAAUUAAGGAUCAUGCUACCGGGUUUAAUUCCCAGGCCCAUUUGCCUUGGCCCAGACUUGUCCAAGUGAGUCCCAUAUUGGGCCUUGUUGCAAGUCUGGCCCAAUUCGUGAGAUAUUCACCCAUUAUGAAGUAAUAGUGCUUAUUACAAAAAAGAGGUCCUACUGCUAUGAACCUACACUAAUAAUUAAACAUAAUUAAAUUUUACAUCAUUCUAAAAAUCCAUUUUUACGAGCCAAAAGUCCAUAAAUUUACAAUAUACUCCUAAGUAUAACUAAUAUCUAAAAAAGAAAGAAAAGAAAUUUUUUAAAGUAAAAACAAAUCAAGCUUCAAUCUUGCGAGAAAUCAGCUAUAGAGUUGUUUCUCACAAGUCAAUAUUUUAAACUCCAGCCUUGAGAUUGCUUUGCCUUAUUAUACAACCCAAAAAUGCAAAUUUCAGUAUUUAUAUGAAUCCAUUGACUAGUGCAUUCCUAUCUUUAAAAUAAUAAAGCAAGCAAAAGAAACAAAGAUGACCAUUUCAGCAACUGAACUUCACAUUUUAUCCUAAAGUCUAACAAUUUUAAAGUUUGAACAUCUAAAAGAAAAGAGAUCACAAAUAGCCAUUGAGCCACACAAUGGGAGUCAUGCUGAUUCUUUUCCAUAUUCAACAGUAAAUUUAACUAUAUUCAUAUAAAUCAAUCAAACAUCACAUAAAACUCAUUCAUUUUACAUUUCUUGCAAAGCUUAUCAAUAUUCUAUCAUUUCAAAACAAAACAACAGUACAUGAGGAGAAAUAAAAUCAGUACCUUGAAUAAACAACAACAAAACCAGCAAGUGUAAGAUGAAAAAGAAGAAAACUGGCUGGAGCAUGAAAUGAAUGAAACAACCACAGGAAUACAAGCCACCAAAAGCCAAAUCAAAAACAAAACCAACAGGCGCAACAAAUUUAAUAGUAGUGAACCCAAAAAGAAACCCAGAAGACCUUCACCUUUAAACUAUUUUUUAGCUUAUGAAAAUCAGAAAAUCCUUCAAAAGUUCUUUAUGUUUUCUUUUGCAAAAUCAGAGAAAAGAAUCAGCUCCUAAGAUCAGUAGCUGAACUUUUAGAAUGUAUUUUUAAGGGUUUUCCAAAUCUGAUCCUAUUUUCAGAAUAAUAGUAUCUAUAUAUAUGCUGCCUACGAUAAGUAUUCUUUAAGAAUAUUCCUUAUCCUAAUUUUGAAAAUACUACUAUCCUUUUUUCACAACGUUGGUAGAACUAUUCCUUUUAUCCUAUUGUUUCAGCAUCUUUCACAACAGCCAGGACAGCUCUAUACUUUAUAAAAACUACUUUUCUUAGGUAUUUUCUGAAAAACUUAUCCUAAGCUUUUUUUAAUUCAAUUAAACCCCUACAAGUUUCUACUACUUUACAAAUUAAUGCAAACCAAUACAACAGUUAAUCAAAAUGCAAAUUAAAGUGAUAAUAGAAAUAACAUAAAAGAGAUGAUACAAUUUGAACUAAAACCAACCUAAUUAGUAGACGUAUGUGUUUAUCUACUUAAACCUAAACAACAACAAAAUUCAAAUGACUAAUGCAUCUGUACAAUAAUCAAAAAAAAUUAGCGUAGAACUGUAAGGAACCUAAAAUAGAAAAAUGGAAGAACAAGCAGAAACAUUUCAUGUAUCAAUGUUAAAAGUGAAACCUAAUUAAUCUAAAUUCAUGCAAUUGAAUAAUGAAAUUCUGACAUGCUCUAAUUAAACUACUAAGCAGAAACAACUAAUUAACUAAGCAUUUGUGAACAAAGAAAAUAAAACCUAAAAUUAUAAACAUAAAUAAUGCGGCUAGAAGAAGCAAUUAAACAUGAAGAAUGCAACAACAAAAGAUAAAAAAUAAACAGAGAGUGAAAGAAAUUACCUAAUCUUGUUCUAAACUGGACCCGCGAUGAAUUUGACCAAACUUAAACAAGGUAAAAUGAACUUAAAUUACCAAUAAUUGACUAUUCUCAACAAUAACAGUUCACUAAUGGAUGUUUUGGGUUCAGACAACCAACAAUUGACCGAAAAAUCAAAAGAGGGGAAAAAGUUGGGGUUUAGUGGAUAUGAGAUUUUAGAUUCGAAGAGUUUGGCUGGGAUUUUUGGGAAAUAAAAAGUAAGACAAUGGUGAGGGAGGUUGAGGGUCCUAUGGUGUGAGUUUGGGACCGUUUGGGUGAUUUAGGAUUUUGGGAUUCUAAUCUUAGAUUUAAGAUUCAAAAUGUUUGGUAUGGAUUUGAGGGAGACGGGUUGGAUAUUUGAAAAAGAGAGGGAAAUGAGGCAGUAGGGUGUUAAUAUGGUAAGGUUUAGGUUGGUCCGCCACCAUGAGGCAAUUUUUGCUUGGUAGACCACGACGGAGGCAGCGUGGGAACGAGGGCGGCUAGGGUUUGGUCCAACUAGAGAGGGGAGAGACUGAGAGAGUGUUGAAUGGGAGGGGG
rnacentral:lncRNA from 1 species